UAAGCCUACUUACACAAUUUCAAAAUAUUUGGAAAAACGAAACAAACACGGCCUAAGAGGUGAUCAGACCGUUAGAAGUAACAAAUCACUUCUUCUAAUGACAGUUAGUUACAGUCUUAGGCAUCUUCAAAAAAAUCUCUUCUCUUCUUCGCCGCUCUGUUCUUGCCGAUGAUUGUCUGUCAAUCAGUCGACUCAAUUGGUCUCUUCUCCGUUGCGUUGCUGCCCUUCUUCCUUGUCUGAGUACUGUCCGAUUCUUUGUAUGGUUGUGGCGGUUUUGGGUGGAUGUGUUUUGUGGAUUGGCGAUAAUCUUGUUUAAUUGUUUUCUAGGGUUUUCUUCGAUUUGAACUCCUCGACUGAGUCAAGUAUUUCUGUCACUGUUGGCUGUUGUGUCGUCAAUCAGUUCUGGAAUGGAAUUUUAGAGUAACUUUGGUGGUUUCAUUUCUUUCUGCAACAUGAUAUGGUAUAAUGUGCUGUAGAAUUUUAGAUUGGCAAUUGUUCUUGUCUGUUGCUUUUCUUAAUUUAUCGCUUGAUUUGAUUUAAUUGUUGAGAAUCGGUUGAUCAAAAUCCUGAGGGUUGGGUUUAUUAUUAUUUCUUUGUGUUGGUUGCGAUUUGAACGAAAUCUGCAAAGAAAUCAACGUUGUAGGUUCUCAAGAUAAAUAGAAUCAUAAAUUUGUUAGUUGUUUUCGAGAAUUGAAGUGAGGAAUCGUAUGUUUAAAUUGCGUUCGCAGGCCAUGUCCCUUAGAAAAGAUCUAAAACUAGGAAUAGAAGAUAUCCUGGUGGCAGAUUUGAACUCUGUAUAUAUUGUUGCACACAUUUUGGAAAAUUUGAGUCCUGAUUUGAUUGGAAAAUGUGUGUGGGAGUUUAUUUGUUCUUGUUAUAUUUAUGAAUAUAUUGUUAUGAAGAGAAACCAUGGAUGUGUUAUCCAACUGAAUACAGGUUGCUAUUGUCAAAGACAUAAAGGAGUCAAUGCUUGAAGAAGUGGAUUUUAAGGAGGCAAGGAAUUGCGCAGAGAUCUUCGUUGAUACAUGCAGGCUUUAAUUUCUGUAGGUAACUAAUUCACUUCCAUUGCUUGCCUACCUUCAAUAUACCCAUUUCUCCAUCUUAUUCAAUUUACUAAUUCCAGAAGCUGAUCAAAAUACAUACAUAUCGACUACUUCGACCCUACUAUAUAUAUUCUAGAAGCUUUUAUUUUUCGAUAACAUAUGGCAUUAGCAUUCCAUUCUUGUACAUUUAUAGUUAAUUAGUUAUGUCAGCUACUUGACUUAGAUGGCCUAAGACAUGGCCUUAUCAUGUCUAUAUGCAAUUAGACUUGUGCCUGCUGCAGCUUUGUUUGAUUGUUUCAAAUGGAAUGCAUAUCUUCAACCGGGCGCAAGAGAUAGGGAGUGUUUCGACACUUGUACCCUUACAUUCUUGUAUUCAUUUAAGCAUACUUCCAUAUAUUAAUAAGAUCAUAUUUAUAAUCCAAGAUAUGUAUGCAUCGAUUUAAUUUAUAAUUUGCAUCCCAACCACAUUGUUUUUGUUUUCUGGUUAUGUAAAUUUUAUAUGAAGACUCGAGACUCAACGGAGACCCUUCGUAUUUCUGUGUAUAUAUAUAUACUAAUAUUACUUUUAAACUUUUAAGACGCGUUUUUUGGAGUAUGGCAGGACGAUUAUGGAAAUAUCCAUUUCAAAUGUAGUGGAUAUCUUCAACUGUAGGAUUCUAUUUAGAUCUGGGACAUACAUGCAUCGAUUUAAUAUCUAAUUUGCAUUCUAACUAUAUUGUUUG